AAUGUUACAGCAGUGCAAGCUUCCUGGAAGGGGUUGCAAACAUCAUGCAAUGAAAAAGAGCAUACAAGCAACAAGUAUCAGUCUACUGAUGGGUGCGGGUGUCACUGACAGUUUUGGUAACCGUCUUUGAGAGAACAGCUGAAGUACUGUAUACUUGAAACAUGCUAUAGCCUUGAUGUACGUUACAAAUGGGAUAACUGAUGACUUUUCUCAUUUCUAUUUUAAGUAGUUGGAUCAGUGGAACAGGCUGUGGCUAUGCCUGCCUGGCGUUCACAGACCACUUGCACACCGUACUGAGGUUCCAACACAGUGCGAGGAGAAUCCUAGUGGGAAUGGUGGUCAAGUCAUCUACGACGAUAACUCUUAUCCUAUGAGUAUGGAUUGUCAGCAGGGUGGGAAUGUUGAGCUGCUGCUGCCUGGACCUGUUGCCUGCCAUAGGACACCAGAUGUAAUUUAGCAGCUACGCUGUCCCUUCUGAGCUCCAGCAUAUUCCAGUCCAUUCCACUGUACUGCUCACCCUGCUUCUACAACAUGCUCUCCGCCAGCAACAGAAACAAACUCAUAAAAAUAACAUACACAGCAUCGAAAAUCAUUCACUAACCCAAACACCCCAGAGAU